rnacentral:rRNA from 1 species
GACCUCAAGUCAUGUGAGAGUACCCGCUGAACUUAAGCAUAUCAAUAAGCGGAGGAAAAGAAACUAACAAGGAUUCCCCUAGUAACGGCGAGUGAAGCGGGAAGAGCACAAAUUUUAAAUCUACCUGGUUUUCAGGUCGAGUUGUAAUUUGAAGAAACGUUUUUUACGUUCCGGGUUGGAUUAAAUCCUUUGGGAUAAGGUAUCAUGGAGGGUGAGAAUCCCGUGUAUACCAACCACUGGAAUGUUAUUAAUACGAUUUUCUAAGAGUCGAGUUGUUUGGGAAUGCAGCUCUAAAUGGGUGGUAAAUUUCACCUAAUGCUAAAUAUAAGCGAGAGACCGAUAGUGAACAAGUACCGUGAGGGAAAGAUGAAAAGAACUUUGAAAAGAGAGUUAAAUAGUACGUGAAAUUGUUGAAAGGGAAACGGUUGAAGUCAGUCAUGCCGGUGGGAAUCAACUUAGGGGAAACUUUAAGUGCAUUUCUUCGCUUGGUAGGUUAGCGUCGAUUUUGGAUGUCAUAAAAUGACUGGGGGAAGGUAGCUCCUUCGGGAGUGUUAAGCCCUUAGUAGAUGUGAUGUUCGGGAUCGAGGAUUGCAACGGAUACCCUUUGGGGCUAGCCACCUGGUCUCUAAUACGAAGUUGGGUUAUAGAUAGCAUGCUAACUAUGAUCUGAUUUUCGGUUAAAAGAUUAGAGUGAGUGUAAAUUCGUUAAGGACGCUGACGUAAUGGCUUUAAACGACCCGUCUUGAAACACGGACCAAGGAGUCUAACAUAUGUGCGAGUGUUUGGGUGAUAAAACCCGGAACGCGUAAUUAAAGUGAUUCUGGUGGGAACCCUUCGGGGUGCACCAUCGACCGAUCAGGAUAUUCUUUGAUAGAUUUGAGUUAGAGC